rnacentral:rRNA from 1 species
AAAGCAUCUAAGCGCGAAGCCCACCUCAAGAUGAAUCAUCCUUUAAGGGCUGCGAAAGACUAUCGCGUUGAUAGGAGGCAGGUACAAGCAUAGUAAUGUGUGCAGCCAAGCCUUACUAAUUGCCCGUUAACUUCCUUUU